rnacentral:rRNA from 1 species
UUGUGUCUUCGAGUCGUUGAUUUCACACUGCCGAGAAAAGCCUCUAGAUAGAAAAUAGGUGCCCGUACCGCAAACCGACACAGGUAGUCAAGAUGAGAAUUCUAAGGUGAGCGAGCGAACUCUCGUUAAGGAACUCGGCAAAAUGACCCCGUAACUUCGGGAGAAGGGGUGCUCUUUAGGGUUAACGCCCAGAAGAGCCGCAGUGAAUAGGCCCAAGCGACUGUUUAUCAAAAACACAGGUCUCUGCUAAACCGUAAGGUGAUGUAUAGGGGCUGACGCCUGCCCGGUGCUGGAAGGUUAAGAGGAGUGGUUAGCUUCUGCGAAGCUACGAAUCGAAGCCCCAGUAAACGGCGGCCGUAACUAUAACGGUCCUAAGGUAGCGAAAUUCCUUGUCGGGUAAGUUCCGACCCGCACGAAAGGCGUAACGAUUUGGGCACUGUCUCAACGAGAGACUCGGUGAAAUCAUAGUACCUGUGAAGAUGCAGGUUACCCGCGACAGGACGGAAAGACCCCGUGGAGCUUUACUGUAGCCUGAUAUUGAAAUUCGGCACAGCUUGUACAGGAUAGGUAGGAGCCUUUGAAACGUGAGCG